rnacentral:tRNA from 1 species
GGGCGCGUAGCUCAGUUGGUAGAGCAGCUGACUUUUAAUCAGCGGGUCGCAGGUUCGAAUCCUGCCGCGCUCACCA